UUUUUCGUUUCUUUUCUUAAACGUACUUUCUCAACAUUUAGUGUGUUCGCCAUGCAAAUAGUUUUUAUGAAUAUAAGUUUUAUUAAAUCGCGUAAGCCCGAAAAUUUGCAAUUAAUGAGUAAAAUUACAUUUAAUUUUGUGCGGAAGUUGGAAAUCCUUGCAAGACCAAAUUUUUCCUAGCGAAAAUGUGUACCCUCCAAAAAAGGUCGUCGCAUAUCUGCUGUGAAUGAAAAAAAACUUGAAGUUGUGUUUAAAUUCAUGAAUAAACGAAAUCUUCAUUGCGUCAGACGCUCUAGCUGAUUUAGCUCCGUGAGCUUCCUUCUGACAUUGAAGGCAUUCAAGGAUCGACGACCACUAUAAUGAAGAUAUCUCCAAAAACGCUAUCAAGAAGAUGUUUGAUAUGCAUCUCGACCGUUUGGAUGAAAUAAACAAACAAAAUCUCUUUUAGUUUUAUUGGGUUGUUGAAAUGAAGCUGAAAUGCACCCAAUUAUUUUUAAGUCAAAUAUUUAAUACGUUUAUUAGAAUAUUAGCUUGUUUAAAAUCUUAAUUUUUUUUUUCAUUUAUGUAGUGCGGCCCAUGAUUCAAUUAUUAAUUAUCAUUGAAUUAUUAUUUAUCAUUUAAUUAUGGUGCUGCCUUUCUAGCAUUCAUGUACAGAAUGUAUGUAUGUGUGUAAGCCCGGUUGCAUUCUGCUGCAUUGUCUAGUAUGUUUAUAAUGCUGUAUGCCAAAUAGAUGGUAUUGCCAGUUCGUUCCGUAUGGUACUGUUUUCCUAAUAAGAGUUCUUGCUAUGAAAACUGGAAUAUAAAUUCUGCCGUCCAAAUUUGUUGAUAAAACGAAGAAAUAAUAAUUCAUAUUAUAUUAUUAGCGAAUAAAGAGAAAUGAAAAUGUAAA